rnacentral:rRNA from 1 species
AGUGAACGCUGGCGGUAGGCCUAACACAUGCAAGUCGAACGGCAGCACAGUAAGAGCUUGCUCUUACGGGUGGCGAGUGGCGGACGGGUGAGGAAUACAUCGGAAUCUACUUUUUCGUGGGGGAUAACGUAGGGAAACUUACGCUAAUACCGCAUACGACCUACGGGUGAAAGCAGGGGAUCUUCGGACCUUGCUCGAUUGAAUGAGCCGAUGUCGGAUUAGCUAGUUGGCGGGGUAAAGGCCCACCAAGGCGACGAUCCGUAGCUGGUCUGAGAGGAUGAUCAGCCACACUGGAACUGAGACACGGUCCAGACUCCUACGGGAGGCAGCAGUGGGGAAUAUUGGACAAUGGGCGCAAGCCUGAUCCAGCCAUACCGCGUGGGUGAAGAAGGCCUUCGGGUUGUAAAGCCCUUUUGUUGGGAAAGAAAAGCAGCAGGUUAAUACCCCGCUGUUCCGACGGUACCCAAAGAAUAAGCACCGGCUAACUUCGUG